AUUUAAGACAUAGUGAUUUAUCCUAAGAGAUAAAAAGAAAGGUAGAAAUAAAGGUAGUGGUAAAGUUGAAAUUUUGUUGAAAAGCCAAGGGGCUUUGGUUAGUUAGUUAGUUGGCAUAGGCAAAAGGCAGCAACACUAAAUCCAGCACAGUGGUGGGGAAGGUGUCUCCAAGUACAGCUCUACCCAUCCGGAAGAGACACUGCCCUGAUCUCCAGACCCCAGCCACAAGCUGGGCCAAAUCUGUUGGGGACAGCAGAAGUUUUCUAUUUCUACAGGUCAAAAGGCGUUCCUUUGUGCACCAAGGUACUGAGAGCAGCAGGACAGGUGAGGUUAACACACGGUGGGCCCGGGUGACCUGGGAAAGAUGUAAACAUCACCUUCUUCCUUAAGACAAUUCAGUAGCAUUGCCCCAAAUAUUCACACACAUCUGUGUCCUAAAUAGGAAUGAGUUUAGGGGUUUAUGUAGGCAUCUUUGUCAAUUUUGGCAAGGGGUUGAAAUUGUGGUGUUUGAUUUUUGCUGUGAGCAAUGAUAAUUUAAAAUAGUGUCUGUCAAGAUAAAUAUUGCAAGUGGUGUGAGCAGUGUAUGAACGUGUACCUGUGUAUGAAAGCACCUGAAGAAAGAGCAGGCACUGAAUGUCCUGUAUUGAUCACCAAAAAUGCCGUUUCUAACUAAUCAGAUAGAAAUGGGUGUUUCUGUCAAGCCUGCAACAAGGCCUGAUAAGUUAUCCCUGUCAUAGUUUCAUCAGCGCAAGAUCCUAAUCUAACAACACAAAAACAGCACAGAUUGUCCAGCGUCACUGCUGCUGCCCCUUUUUGCUCCCCACCCAACAGGAAGGUAGCAGCGAAAGCAAAAGACCAAUUCUCUAAGAGAUAGAGCCGAAAAUAAUUUGUUUCUGGCGUGUUAUGAAUACCCUUGAGAGAAAGGUUAGCGCCGGAUGGGACACCAGCUCAGCUCUGGGACAAGGACCGCGACUCGCCGUGGGAGCCUCCGCCCGCCACGGAUUUAUUCCAGCUUUCUCCGUGUUUCCACGUACUUGGCCCACCCGUCACUGGAGUUGUGACCUAAAGGGACGUCUUUCUUUCUGUGCCCGCUACAGCUACACGGCAAAGCAGAUUUUCUCUUCCAAAAUGACUUUACGAGCUCUGGUUUUGUGUUUGGCAUAUUCUGGGCUUGGAAAGGCAAAUGUGAUUCCGCAGGCUGGACACACAAAGGUGAGGAUGGGUGACAGUGUGACUCUGAGCUGUGCCCUGACAAAACCCAUGGAUGUUCUGCAAGUGACAUGGCAAAAGGACUCAGAAGAAUUACAUGAUAAUAUAGCUACAUACAGUAAAACAAACGGAUUAAGGAUUCAGAAGCCCUAUGAAGACAGAAUGAAUUUCACAAGUUUGGAACUCAACAAGACAAGCAUAACUUUUUGGGACACUAGAAUGGAUGAUUCAGGAUGUUACAAGUGUCUCUUCAAUGUUUUCCCUUCUGGUCCUCUCUCAGGAAAUACCUGCCUGAGUGUUUUUGGUCUCAAUGUAUCUGUCCAUCACAACAUUUCUGAAGAUCAUUUGGUAGUGAUCUGUAAUGCUAAUGGCCUCCCAGAGCCCACCAUCACCUGGAACAACCUGUUCAAUUCCACUCCUACAGAGAAGACAGUCAAGCACAAAAAUGGGAUUGUGUCCAUCACCAGUAAACUGGAAAUCUACAAUAUUCAGAGCAUCGGUGCACAGGAUUUGAUCUGCAGAGUAAGCAACACAAAUGAAACAUUUGAAAUGCCUGUGAAAAUAAAAGGAGAAGAGGUGUCACCAUUGCUUUGGCUGGUGAUUAUUGCAGUGCUUUUAGUAGUCAUCAUAGUUCUGAUUCUGAUUACGCUGUUCUGGAGGAAGAUCCUCUGCAGGAGGAGUUGAAGUGGAUCCUGAGCAUUUCCAUCCAUCUACCAGAUCAUUAGAAGCUAUCAGCCUGAAGUGAACAUUACACAUAGUGACUUGACUGGCUGGAAAGAAGCAGCAAAAAAAGGAGAAGACGUCAUAUACACUGCCCUGUCUGGAAGCUGAGUUGCUCACUGAAAUUACUAACACAACAUUUGCUAUCUGGUCUAGGCCCUUAAUCUUAAAAUGUAGGACUGGAGGGACCACUUCGUCUGCUGUUCUGCAGAGGAGGAGGUUUUGUCAGGCAAAACCUUCUUUGCCCAUGCCACUCUUGGUACUGCUGCUGGGCAAAAUGUAUUUGUCUUCUUCCAGCCGAGUAUCGAAAAUGUCUGUGGGUUGAAGCUCUGCAGACUCUCUGGGGAUUCUCUUCCAGUGCCUAAUUGCUCUUGCAGUAGAGAGGGAUUUAAUUUUUGCCAACAUCAGUCUGCAAUUUCACUUGCAGCAACUCUUGAGUUCAUCACCCUCUUCCUGUCAUGAUUUUUCUUCUCUUAGCCAGUUGUUAUAGCUCCUUUUCCUCUGGAAAGAUCUGCUGGACUCAAAAUCACAGGACUCAAACCACACAACAUUUGGCAAAAUUAUUGGGGAAGAGCAAUAGGUCUCCAAGCAGGUGACUAAAUAAAGGCAGUAGCAGCCACAAUUUGGAAAAAAAGAAUUGCUACAGAUGGCUGCUGGUGAUGGCUUCUGAGGAGCUUUCUCCUGGAUGCUAGCCAAAGGUCCUUCACUACUUGAAUCCAUAAAAGGUAUCUGAAAAUUGCCAGGUGGAAGAAGAGAAUGUGCAUCUGUGAGUUUCAGGUUGCAAGAAGCGAUUAGGAGGGAAGGGCGAGUGAGAGCCACAGCAGUUCAUUGAUGUGGGCCACACACAGUGCAGUGAGAAUGAGCCAGCUGUGCAUAUUUUGGCUCCCAGUGGAUUGCGUACGUCUUGGAGAUGUUGCUUGGAUGCCUGCAAAUCUUCAUUGGUGGGUUUCAGGCUGGUGUGGUUGUAAUGGAAACAUUUGCUUUGAGCUGAAGAAGGGUGUGGAGACAUGGAUCAAAGAAAGACUUCAUGCCAUUUAUUUUCAGCCAUGAACAAAUGGACUGUGAGUGUUGUGGUCAGUCCAGUGCGUGCCAUCAACCCUUUAGCUGAGCAUUUAUAAAAAAAUUACAAUAUUUGUACAAUAUUAAAUAUUUAAAAUAUCAAAUGUUUUAAUAUUUAUUUUAACAAUAAAAGGUCAAAAAGUGGGAGGGAGCCCCAUUUUUUCCAGAACCUGUUACUGUAAACAUGAUGAAAAGAUAAUUAUAAAGGAAACUAGUGCAGACUGUACACCCUAGUAUUUCAUAAGUGACUUUUAUCUGAAUGACUCUGUCCAUAUGAGAGAAAAAAAACAUGGCAUUAAAGCAUUUCAGUUCCAGAACUGAAAAGCUGUGAUUAAAUAUCAUAAACUGUAACUUUCCUU